GCCACCACCACGACCGUCAACGAUAACAACGCCGACCACCACUGUAUGAUAUUUGUUGUAUUUUAUACAGGUUUAUACUAAACCGCUACCUGCCGUCUUGUCGUCGCGUACACCGGCCGGUACACAGCACUCGGGAUAACACCAUUAAAACCGACGUAUGUCAUACUGUUUAUUAGAAGUAAAAAAAACCCGAACGAUCCAUUAGACACGGACAAUCUUUCAUUCCGGCCGAUAUAAUAUACUGUCGCGUGUAAUAUUAUACGCGGCGCGUGCGUGCAACGGACGGACGCGGUUCGCCGACUGUUUUUGUGUUUUCAAUGUUUCCACCGUGUGCUCUGGC